rnacentral:tRNA from 1 species
AGUGUUUAAGUGCUCGGCUGCUAACUGAAAGGUUGGUGGUUCGAACCCACCAGACACUC